GAGCGUCGCACGCUUUGCGUAGAUGAGGGAUGGCGCCGGCGCAGGCCUGCGCGCCACGCGCUUUAGGUGGAUGAGGGAUGGCGCAGGUGCAGGCCUGCGCGCCUCACGCUUUAUGUACAUGAGGGAUGAGGCAGCACAGGAAUUGGCACAACCUGAAGUCAGCUCUGCAGCUUUCCAAGCUUCGUUCUGCGUGUCCUGUACUCAACAGUCAUCUCAUGCUGCAGGGUGGCUGCGUGUGCUCCGUACAUCACACCCAUAUUUCAGGGAGAAGACUGCACAUAUAACACAGCUCUGCAUGGAAAACCUUCCGCCUGGAGGGGUGGCUUCCUAGAGGUGUGGCGUUGCCCUCUGUCUUGAACAGGCUGUGAGCCGUUUUGUCAUUUGGGGUUUCUAGAUGCAAACAGCAGAAGCUGCUGGCCAAUUACCAAAGGGAACGUGCUGUUAGGAUAUCAGGGCCUGGGAGCUGCAGCAAUGUGGGCUGACAGCAGAGAGCUAAGGCACUUUCCGAGGUGACGAGCUGGGCUGCUAUGCUGGAGACGGCUGGGCAGAAGCAGUUAGCAGGGCAUUUCCUUGUGUCCUUAUCUCAAGAGUCACAGUUUCAGGAGUGAGCAUCUCAGAGGUCAGGGUUCAUUCACAUGCCACCUCCCUUCUCACUGUGUCAUUGGGGAGGGGCCGUCUGGACCCUCUGGCUCCUGUGGCAAGAAAUGGUCCCAUCAAGUCAUCCAAGGGCCUGGAAGCCUCCCAAGGAAAGCAGGAGGGCUGGGUGCUGAGCAGCGUCCAGCAGCAAAGGCACUUUCCAGGGCACAUCACGUGGGUGUGCGGUCUGGCUGCUGGGUCCACGCGGGUUCUCAAUCAUGACCUGGCUUGCAAGCUCUUUCCACAGUUGGAUAAAUGAAGCCGUUGGGGAAGUAUCCGCAAACUCUUACAGUGAGUAUGUGAUAAUGACACACGCGUGGCCCUUCUAAGACCUCCGCUAGGCAUUAUCAGUGACUGUGCUCGUGAGCGCUGACCUCCGCUAGGCGUUAUCAGGGACUGUGCUCGUGAGCGCCGACCUCCGCUAGGCGUUAUCAGGGACUGUGCUCGUGAGCGCGGACCUCCGCUAGGCGAUAUCAGGGACUGUGCUCAUGAGGGCGGACUUUCACCAGCCACGCUUCCGAGGAGUGGAGUCUUUCUCAGCUCUGCCUCUCCAAGAUGACCAUCUUGUGAAGACGAUGCGUUCUUUAUACACAAGUUCUGUGUGUGUGUGUGUGUGUUCCACACACAGGACCAAAGUUGAGAUAGGCGCACAUUUUCUUGGUCCCACUUGUGGCCCCAGUCGGCUGUCAGAAGUGGGUGUGCUCCACAUGUACCCACCAUGUCAGGGCACAGUGCUCACAUUUCACACCUCAGCAGGUGCCUUGAUGUUGACCAGAGGCCCCAAAAUCAUCUCUUUCUAUGACUUCUAGAUCUUAGAUUCCCAGGAACUGGGAAAUGCAGUCAGUAUCUUUUGGGUCCAAGAAACUUUGUCAGAGCCCUUGUGGGAGAACCAUAGAUUCUCACCAGAUAAACAGAAGAGCUUCGUGUUAGAGAAACCCGCCUGUCUCCCCACAUUCUCAGUUUUCUGGAGAGCAGCUGAAAGCCAUCUGGGUGGAGAUUAAGAGCUCCAACCGUGUAGCUUUGAUGUAUCGGGCAAGUUGCUUAAGCUCUUUAAUGCUGUUUCCUCAUUUAUUGUGUGAGGCCAAAAAUACCCAUUCCUUAAAGUUGUGAGGAUUAAAAACAGUAAUGAAAAGUGAGUGGCAAGUGCCGAGUACACAGUCAAGUACCUGAUACUUUUUAGUGUAAGGUAAGUAGCAAGAAAGCAUGAAAUUUAUUUUCAUUUACUCUUACUACAUGUGGUAAACCAUCUAUGCACAGAGCACUGCAUUGGGUGCCAUGAAUGACAGAAUAAGAGUACCAGGUGCAUGAAAAGCUUAAAAGACAAAUGAGACAGAGCUAGGCUGCAGAAGACUUAAAAAGUUGAUGUAUUUAACUUUUAAUGGACACACUGUACAUGUUUAUGGGGUACGAUUUGUUGUUUCCAUGCAUAUCUGUGUUGUGUAAUGAUCCAAUCAGGGUAGUGUGUGUGCCCAUUUCCUCAAGGGUGGAUCAUUAUGUGUAUCAUCGUGCAUCAUCAUGUAUCAUGCAUGUACCAUCAUCAUGCAUCAUUGUGCAUCAUCAUGCCUGUAUCAUUAUGUAUCACCUCAUGCAUAUAUUAUAAUGUAUCACCUCAUGCGUGUAUUAUCAUGUAUCACCAUGCAUGUAUUGUGCAUGUGCCAUCAUCAUGCAUCAUUGUGCAUCAUCAUGCCUGUAUCAUUAAUCACCUCAUGCAUAUAUUAUAAUGUGUCA
ensembl:lncRNA LINC00200 long intergenic non-protein coding RNA 200